UGGAAGUUUGCAUGAGACCCAUCAGAAACCUUUGUCCCAUAUCCAAAUGAGCUUAGAAGACAUCCCGCAAAAAUUCCUGCACUGCUUGUGCAGUUUGCAAAUAUCAAAGGACUUGCACCAAUACUAAAUUUUGCCUUUAAGAAUGGGGACUUCUGAAAUUUAGUGUACAAAUCAAUUUCACUCUGAAAACAUAUGGAAAAGGUAUAAUUAUCUUUGAUGGCUACAGUGGCUCUCCAAUGAUCAAAUACAUGGCCCACAGAUGCUGCUGCACUAAGACCAGUAGGAAUGUUAAUUUCAGCCCAUACAUGAAGUUUGUCUGCAAGAAGAAACACUUGUCUAAUGAACACAACAAGCAAGCAAUGAUUUCCCUUAUAGGUGAGAUGUUGAAGAAGCAUGGAAAUAUUGUGUACAAUGCAGAUGGGGAUGCUGAUGUGGACCUCAUUCGUGCUGCAGUCUUAUCAUUAGAAAAUGCCAGUACAACAGUAAUUGGGGAAAUCACUGAUUUGCUGAUUCUGCUUCUGUCCCAUGCCAAGGACAAUAGUUUCAAGUUGUACUAUCGCAGUGACAUAAGAUGGGGACCAUUUCCCAAUCCUGUGUAUGAUAUCCUCUGCAUUCAAUCAUUGUCGGGUCAUGACAUCUGCAAGUUGCUCCUGUUUCUGCAUGUUUUCACGGGCUGUGAUAACACAUCCAUAAGUUUUUCAAUUGGGAAGUCCUUAGCAUUCAGCAAACUGAUGAAGGUGACUGAGCUUGAUUGUGUUGUAAUAUAUUGUUAAACGGAUUUACU